GACGUAGGCACCGCCAUAUUAAGAACCUGUCAGCUGUGUAUGUUCCAGCGUACUGCGUUAUCUCGUUUAAUUCAGGUUAUCGUUCAUUGGGAAAGUCCAACAGGAAUACAUAUACUCAGUCUAACAGUUGGGUUUACUCUUUUUUUAUCUUCAUAUUCAUCGAGGAAUUUCUCGAGGUGAAAACAGAAGAAAGACAACCGAAAACAAAACGUAAACAGCCAAGCACCGAACGUUAGAUACUCUCAAGGAUAAACAGUAUGAGAUCAUCAUUCCUCUUCCGUCCUUCGACAAGUAAAGAUCUAACGAAC
rnacentral:lncRNA from 1 species